AUGAAAUUGACAUUCGACUUUCGCCACAACAUGGUUCUUGACCCCAUGCAGUCAAGUGAUAUAUUGACAGUCUUUCCACGAUUCAAAGACAUUAAAGGCUUGAUUGAGCAAGACUUUGUUCUGAUGUUUGGAGAAGGAGUGUCAGGCAAGCUACUGGAGAAGUGGACCACUGCAUUCAAAAGAAAAGUGAUUCAGCAGUGCAAAAUCUUCCAAGCACCAGUGAUUUGGAAGAACUACUGCUAGCAGCUGAAUCUCCUACUGGUGACUCAGAAGAGGUUGUUAAUUUUGGUUGGGACAGUGACCUCUCUUCUAUAAUACAUCUGUUGCAUCUGAUCCCACCUUCUGCCCAAGGCCAGAAAAGACCAGGAAAGGUGUCUGCCUCUCAAGCAGAGAAGCACCUUGUUG